AAUUUACUUAGAAUUUUGUCUGCAAAUGUUUAUUGAAAACAAACACAUAAAAACUUUAUUGAUAUUCUUCAGACCCUUUUUACAAAAGUGUAGUGACCAUGUUCAUUGAGUAUUGCUGUCUUCAUAGCCUGGAGCCGGGACUUCUGAAAAACAUAUUUACACAAGUUCACAUCAAUUCUUAGGAAAUCAGGUUGUGGAAAUUAUCCUACCAGGUAGGAUAAAAGACAGCCAAAGGUGGUAGAUACGCAACUUAGUCACUUGACUCCAUUGCAUUCUGCAUCUAACAACUCUGUGUCUCCAGAACAGAAGAGGAUGAAGACCCUCAGUGUGAUAGUGAUGUUCGCCCUCCUGGGUGUCCUGUUGGCAAACCGUCCCGACCAGGUUAAUCUGGAGGAAGAUUCUCUGCCUCAAGAAGACAACAUGGCUCAAUAUGAUGAUUCGCUGUCUCAGGAGGACAAUGACGGUCAAAAUGACGAUUCGCUGUCUCAGGAGGACAACGACGGUCAAAAUGACGAUUCGCUGUCUCAGGAGGACAACGACGGUCAAAAUGACGUGGCAAUUGCAACAAAAUUACUGCAGGAGAUCCAGAACCCUCCCCCAGGCGUAAAGUUGCAAAGUCUUUGUUGGCGAAGACGUUGGUUCUCAUACAGAUUUCUCAGGGGCUUCUAUCCCCGCAGAUGGCGCCGCUAUUACCGCUGUUUCUGGUAUUGAGGAUCCUCUCCAGUCUCCAUAUGAAAUGUACCACAAUGGAACUCACACGUCUCCUGACAUCACCUCUCACCAACCUGAUGUAUCAACAACCUCUUAGACUCACAUCAUCACUAUAUCUACUGAUUAAUGUCUGCAAAACCAGACCUUUACGUCACCUUUUCUCGGUCUGUAUUGAUACUAAAACAAUGAUGAUAGAUGAUGAACACUGACUAUGUGAAGACAUGGUGGUAAUGUUGUAUGGCUGAUCUGUCAAACUGCAAACCUUUAAUAAACAUUUAUCAAGCAUCAUACAUUAUCAGCUGUGCUUAAUGAUUUGCCCAAUAUUUACAACCCCAUUUUCAAAAAAGUUGGGACACUGUGUAAAAUGUAAAGAAAAACAGAAUGCAAUGAUGUCCAAAUAAUGUAAAGCCUAUUUUCAAUAGAAAAUAGUAACAAGACAACAUAUCAAAUGUUGAAACUGAGAAAUGUUAUUGUUUCUUGGUAUAAUACAUGCUCACUUUGAAUAUGAUGCCAGCAGCACGUUUCCAAAAAGCUGGGACAGAGACACCAAAAGACUGGAAACAUGUAAUGCUAAAAACUUAAAACUGUUGGAAUAUCACACAACUAAUUAGGUCAGUUGGCAACAGGUCUGUAACAUGAUUGAGAACCUGGAGUAAUCUCUGUAGGCAAAAACCAAUACUGGAUGGCCGUGAUCUUCGGGCCCUCAGGCUCUGUAGUGAAAGAACUGGGUGCUAAACUGGCUUGUCUACCGUCCAGACAUGUCCCCUAAUUAAAAUAUUUGUUGUAUUAGGAAAUGACAAAUAGAGCAAAAAGGACCCCGAACUCUUAUAUUGAGAAUGAAUGGGAAAACAUUUCACUUUCAAAACUACAGCAAUUGGCAUCCUCAGUUCCCAAUUGCUUUACAAAAUAUUGUUAAAAGAAAAGAUGAUGCAACACAGUGUUAAACACGGCCGUCCCAACUCUUUUGAAAUAUGGUUGCUGCUGGCAUCAAAUUCAAA
ensembl:lncRNA